rnacentral:rRNA from 1 species
CUAUACAUGCAGUCGAACGAGUUCUGAUUAUUGAAAGGUGCUUGCAUCUUGAUUUAAUUUUGAACGAGUGGCGGACGGGUGAGUAACACGUGGGUAACCUGCCCUUAAGUGGGGGAUAACAUUUGGAAACAGAUGCUAAUACCGCAUAAAUCCAAGAACCGCAUGGUUCUUGGCUGAAAGAUGGCGUAAGCUAUCGCUUUUGGAUGGACCCGCGGCGUAUUAGCUAGUUGGUGAGGUAACGGCUCACCAAGGCAAUGAUACGUAGCCGAACUGAGAGGUUGAUCGGCCACAUUGGGACUGAGACACGGCCCAAACUCCUACGGGAGGCAGCAGUAGGGAAUCUUCCACAAUGGACGCAAGUCUGAUGGAGCAACGCCGCGUGAGUGAAGAAGGCUUUCGGGUCGUAAAACUCUGUUGUUGGAGAAGAAUGGUCGGCAGAGUAACUGUUGUCGGCGUGACGGUAUCCAACCAGAAAGCCACGGCUAACUACGUGCCAGCAGCCGCGGUAAUACGUAGGUGGCAAGCGUUAUCCGGAUUUAUUGGGCGUAAAGCGAGCGCAGGCGGUUUUUUAAGUCUGAUGUGAAAGCCCUCGGCUUAACCGAGGAAGUGCAUCGGAAACUGGGAAACUUGAGUGCAGAAGAGGACAGUGGAACUCCAUGUGUAGCGGUGAAAUGCGUAGAUAUAUGGAAGAACACCAGUGGCGAAGGCGGCUGUCUGGUCUGUAACUGACGCUGAGGCUCGAAAGCAUGGGUAGCGAACAGGAUUAGAUACCCUGGUAGUCCAUGCCGUAAACGAUGAAUGCUAGGUGUUGGAGGGUUUCCGCCCUUCAGUGCCGCAGCUAACGCAUUAAGCAUUCCGCCUGGGGAGUACGACCGCAAGGUUGAAACUCAAAGGAAUUGACGGGGGCCCGCACAAGCGGUGGAGCAUGUGGUUUAAUUCGAAGCAACGCGAAGAACCUUACCAGGUCUUGACAUCUUUUGAUCACCUGAGAGAUCAGGUUUCCCCUUCGGGGGCAAAUGACAGGUGGUGCAUGGUUGUCGUCAGCUCGUGUCGUGAGAUGUUGGGUUAAGUCCCGCAACGAGCGCAACCCUUAUGACUAGUUGCCAGCA